GAUGAACGCUGGCGGCGUGCUUGACACAUGCAAGUCGAACGGGAUCCGAGGCGCUUGCGUCUCGGUGAGAGUGGCGAACGGGUGAGUAAUACGUGACUAACCUGCCUCAUACAUCGGAAUAGCUCCUGGAAACGGGUGGUAAUGCCGAAUGCUCCGACCUUCCGCAUGGAGGGUCGGGAAAGCGUUAGCGGUAGUGAGAUGGGGUCGCGUCCUAUCAGCUUGUUGGUGGGGUGAAGGCCCACCAAGGCUUCGACGGGUAGCCGGCCUGAGAGGGUGACCGGCCACAUUGGGACUGAGAUACGGCCCAGACUCCUACGGGAGGCAGCAGUGGGGAAUAUUGCACAAUGGGCGAAAGCCUGAUGCAGCGACGCCGCGUGCGGGAUGAAGGCCUUCGGGUUGUAAACCGCUUUUGAUUGGGAGCAAGCGAGAGUGAGUGCACCUUUCGAAUAAGCACCGGCUAACUACGUGCCAGCAGCCGCCGUAA
rnacentral:rRNA from 1 species